rnacentral:lncRNA from 1 species
GGCAGGAAAAGAAACCAACACAAAGGAACACGGACGACGCGAGGAGAGGGGGCAGGCAUCCUGAGGGUGCGGGGUUUACAAGGAGACUGCACAGGGGAGGUGCUCAAGCGCAGGCGCAGGCGCAGGCGCAACGCGGGUCCCUGGGAAGCCCAGGCCCCCCAGCCCUCUGCCGAGCGCAUCAGCUUCGCAGAAGGGCGGGAGACCACGAGGGACACGCCGGACUCCAGAAAGAAAAAAAGCUGCUACGACUCCCCUGUCUUAAUCCAGCCCAGAUCUCAGUGGAAACCUAACACCACUCUAGUGACCCUGGAACUGCACCAGUGCCUCACAUCACCAAAUAAGGACCAGCCAGUUGGCAUUUAUCCACCCUGCAAAAUUACUGAGUGAUGGCAAUAAUAAUGAAGAUGAGAAAGAUACCAGGAAUUUUGAUAAAUGUUUUGUGUUGGAAAUGUAAGGACUGGAGCCAAUUCCUAGGGUUUCCAAUACUUAGUAAGGUUAAGGGAGCUGGUGG